rnacentral:lncRNA from 1 species
GAAAAGUGUUGUUUAACCUAUAAAGAAGAGGGCAUACCUUCUUACAAGAUCUACUGAGCUAAAAAGUUGGGGGAUGCCCAGAACUUAAAUUAGCUAUGACUGCUGCUUACUCUCAACUACAGCCUUACUGCGUUACUGGUGUCUGAGAUCAAGGAUAUAGGAGGCUGAUACUUUUGGACUCUAUAUUGUGUCUCAAAGAAAUAAAUGAAACUUUACUAAUGAUCAGCUAUAGCUAUCUCAUUGGACGAAAUGUUUUCUUGCCUUUGGGCAUGUCAGUGGUGAAUAUUGUAUUGCCUUUACAUUUUAGCGUUCUUUCAUUUUUUUAAGGUUGUCCUUGAGAGAGCGACCUUAGCAAUCCUAUCUUGUCAUCAUUAAAUCUUUCAAUGCUAUUUUGUUAUUAUAAGUAUCAUACGGUACAGACUAUCAAUUCAACUUUCAUGUGAUCAGCUUGAAAGAUGUUGAGAAAAGAACUGAAAAUGUUAAUAUGGAUGAAGAUCCAAGUGGUUGGCG